AACCAUACAUACAUACAAUCACACAGCAAUUCCAAAACAAAUCCAGAAACCAAAAUCCCAUCAGCAGACGCCCAAACCAGACGACCCCACCACUGUCCAUCACGCUCUUCUUCUUCACGGGAAGAUCGAAAUUCAACGAGCAAAUCGCGCUGCAAACCUGAAAAUCUCAUCCAAACCCAUACCUUAGCAUCCCCAAUGUCAAACCCUCACGUCCCAUUUUCCCCCUUUAGCGGAAGUCACUAUUUUUUCCCAUCCCCCUUCACUGUUGAUCUCGAAUGGAGCAAAGGAAAAUUCAAAUUUUCUUUUGAAAUUUUCCAACGGAUUCACCACCCCCCCCAAAGUUGCUCCAUUUUUUCCUAUAUAUAGUUCUCUCCCUCAGUGAUUAAGAAAACGGAAGAAAAAGAUCGGAUUUUGAGGGCAAUAUUUCACAUACGAAAAUAGCUUACAAAAGGUCACUUGGUUUCAAUUUUAUUUGUUUCCUUUGGUCUGCUCGAGUCUGAACUAGUGUGGUAGGAGAAUCGUGGAAAUCGCUCCCCUGCUCGUUGUCUCGGUUCUCUGCUUCUUAAAAGUUCUUCAGACUCCUCUUUGCCUUGUAUUUUGAGUUGGGGUUGAAACCCAAUGCUUUCCCUAUUUUUUUGAGGCAACCUCUAUGCAUUCGGAAGCUGUUACAGGUCCUGGAGGCCCAUCAUGUUUGCUGAAAAUUAAUUCAAAGCCCAAGAAAUGAGUUGUAUACAUAUUGUAUACAGCAGUAUACACUCGUUAUACAGCGAAUUACAGGUCAAAAAUGCAAAAAUACAGAGAUGAGGCGAAAUACAGGUGUUCGGAAGCAAGAGAUACAUGAAAAGAGCUAAUAUAUACGCUCAUAUACACUGAUAUACGCUCAGUGUAUACGCAAAAACGGGAAUUGAAAUAGUUCAAAAUUUGCAGCGAAAUUGACCCAAAAAGGGGCCCAAUUUCCUGAUAUCUUUUACUCUUUUAAUUGAUUUGCUUAUGCUUGACUAAUUUUAUUUAACUCUAACUAUAAUUUAUUUUAAUUAACUUAAUUAGAUCCCUCAAAAGAUGAGUUAUUUUCUUA